rnacentral:lncRNA from 1 species
CGCGGCGGUGGUGCUCGUUGCCGAGGCGACCCAGGGCCGCAGGCGCUGUGUCCCGCGCGCGCCCGGUGUGGACCGAGGCUUCCCGCUUGAAUCGGGAAGUCGCGGCGCGAUGCUCCGGGGGGUACCCCUGCCUUCGGGAGGCAGAGCUUUCGGCCCGUCGGACCGCGGCAUCCUCCAGGAGAUUCUUGAGCUCUCCCUGGAUACGCCGCCCCUCGGUGGUGGAUGGUUCCGGCAUUGCUCGGAGUAGUAUUACUGCUGCAGCCAGGUUCUGGCCGACCCCACUGGAAGCCGAGGGCAGCCUCGCCCUGGCAUCGUUGGCGAUGCGGUGCUGGACGUCCUGGGCCAGAUGACGCGCUUCUCCGGCCGGAGCUCGGCCUGCCCCCUCCUGCCCGAUAUUCUGCCGGAGCGGCACAAGUUGUCCUGCUUUCUCGUCGAG